rnacentral:rRNA from 1 species
GACGAACGCUGGCGGCGUGCCUAAUACAUGCAAGUAGAACGCUGAAGGAGGGGCUUGCUUCUCUGGAUGAGUUGCGAACGGGUGAGUAACGCGUAGGUAACCUGCCUGGUAGCGGGGGAUAACUAUUGGAAACGAUAGCUAAUACCGCAUAAUAGCAGUUGUUGCAUGAUAACUGUUUGAAAGGUGCAAUUGCACCACUACCAGAUGGACCUGCGUUGUAUUAGCUAGUUGGUGGGGUAACGGCUCACCAAGGCGACGAUACAUAGCCGACCUGAGAGGGGGAUCGGCCACACUGGGACUGAGACACGGCCCAGACUCCUACGGGAGGCAGCAGUAGGGAAUCUUCGGCAAUGGACGGAAGUCUGACCGAGCAACGCCGCGUGAGGGAAGAAGGUUUUCGGAUCGUAAAGCUCUGUUGUAAGAGAAGAACGAGUGUGAGAGUGGAAAGUUCACACUGUGACGGUAUCUUACCAGAAAGGGACGGCUAACUACGUG